CGGGGCCUCCGUCCUCUUCUGAGCCUCCGCGCUCGGUGGUCGUGGAGACCCCUGGUGUGGGAGCGCGGCGUGAGAGGCUUUUUUCGGGAGGCAGCUCCGCGUUGGGCGUCCAGGGAAGCCGGAGGUGAGAAGGUUGAGACAGAGAGAAAAGAAGCAAUUUAUCCAAGGUCACCUAGAAAGCUAAUAAUACUUCAGGAACGAAAACCAAUGAAUCCUGAGGUGCAUGCUGUUUUCCUUCCAACUGUUCCAAGUUUCCCGAGGAAACAAACAUCUCCACUGAAGUUUCCAAUCAGCGUCUGGAUACCCUUCCUAUUACUGCAGCAAACCUAACACUGAGGAAUGGCUGCUCAGUGCACUGAAAAAAGAGAUCAUGUGAAAACAAGGUAACAAUGCAGUGUUUCGGCAUAUCCACAAGGUUUUGAUGAGUAAACACAGACAGAUCUAAUUCUGAUGCUGUCUAACUUGUGGAUACUUGACUUUGCAUGCCAAUAAUACUUCUCAAGAUAAACUGUGUGUACAAUAUGAUCUGAAAUUGAAUAGCUGCCUUUCCUCAUCUACAAUAACAUACACAGAAGCAUCUGGUCUGGCUGAAAUGUACAUGUUUGCCAGACAUUUG